rnacentral:rRNA from 1 species
UACGUAGGGACCGAGCGUUGUCCGGAUUCAUUGGGCGUAAAGAGCUCGUAGGCGGCUGUUCAAGUCGAACGUGAAAACUCGGGGCUCAACUCCGAGCCUGCGUUCGAUACUGGAUGGCUAGAGUCUGGUAGGGGGAUCUGGAAUUCCUGGUGUAGCGGUGGAAUGCGCAGAUAUCAGGAGGAACACCGGUGGCGAAGGCAGUGUCCUGGCGAGUGACUGACGCUGAGGUGCGAAAGCCAGGGGAGCGAACGGG